GCCGGAGUGGUGAAAUUGGUAGACACGCUACCUUGAGGGGGUAGUGGAGAGAUCCGUGCUGGUUCGAGUCCAGUCUCCGGUACCA
rnacentral:tRNA from 1 species